rnacentral:rRNA from 1 species
CAGGGAAUCUUGCGCAAUGGGCGAAAGCCUGACGCAGCGACACCGCGUGAAGGAAGAAUGCCUUAGGGUUGUAAACUUCUUUUGUUGGGGAAGAGAUAGGACGGUACCCAGCGAAUAAGCCCCGGCUAACUACGUGCCAGCAGCCGCGGUAAUACGUAGGGGGCGAGCGUUGUCCGGAUUUAUUGGGCGUAAAGGGCGAGUAGGCGGCAUGCCAAGUCCCGUGUGAAAUCUCCUGGCUUAACUAGGAGCGGUCAUGGGAAACUGGCACGCUUGAGGACAUCAGAGGAGAGCGGAAUUCCCGGAGUAGUGGUGAAAUGCGUAGAUACCGGGAGGAACACCAGAGGCGAAGGCGGCUCUCUGGGAUGCACCUGACGCUGAGGCGCGAAAGCAUGGGUAGCAAACCGG